UAGCUCAGUGGUAGAGCACUUGCCUAGCAUGCAGGAGUCCUGGGGUUUGAUACCCAG
rnacentral:tRNA from 1 species